rnacentral:rRNA from 1 species
UACGAAGGGGGCUAGCGUUGCUCGGAAUUACUGGGCGUAAAGGGCGCGUAGGCGGACAGUUUAGUCAGAGGUGAAAGCCCCAGGGCUCAACCUUGGAAUUGCCUUUGAUACUGGCUGUCGUUGAGUUCGGGAGAGGUGAGUGGAAUGCCGAGUGUAGAGGUGAAAUUCGUAGAUAUUCGGCGGAACACCAGUGGCGAAGGCGACUCACUGGAUCGGUACUGACGCUGAGGUGGCGAAAGCCGGUGGGGAGCAAACAGGG